CGACUUCUUAUCUAGAAUGGCAAACCUGCUAUGAUUUAGGAAUACUUAUAGAAAAUGUCUAUCGGGAUUAGCCCAGAAGAUCUGGUAAAUAGUCCUGCUUGGGGUGUCCGCAUCUUGUAGUAGGAUGCAAAGCUUGGUGGACCCCAAGAGGAUCAAAUAUUUGACUGCUUACAAAUGGAGGAGUGUUAGGGAAUUAACUAUGUCAACUGUGAU